rnacentral:rRNA from 1 species
UCACUUUCAACAACGGAUCUCUUGGCUCUCGCAUCGAUGAAGAACGUAGCGAAGUGCGAUAAGUAGUGUGAAUUGCAGAAUUCCGUGAAUCAUCGAAUUUCUGAACGCAAAUUGCACUCCCUGGCAUUCCGGGGAGUAUGCCUGUUUGAGGGUCAGU